CAACAUGGCGCCUAGACUCUCUAGACUCUAGCUAGAGCAAGAGCCUCAGUCGGUUACAACACGUCGAGAGAGCAGCUACUGUAUUGUAGGGCUAGUCUCCUCGUUAAUAUAAAUAAAAACUUAUUGAACUUGAUUUAUGCCGGAAAACUAAUGUAGAUAAACACUAAAAGAGAGAAACUAUUAGACGACUAGAUUGAAAAUACUAUUUUUUUUUAAAAUGACAAGUGAUAUUUUCGUUGUAAAACGCCUAAACACGUGAAAAAUUCUAAAUUGUUUCUGAACCUGCGAACCUUGCUCCUGAACCUUAAAGACACAGGAUAAAUAAAUGGAUUAUUAAGACACUUGCCUGCCCUGUAGUUGGUAAAAGAAACUGUAAUUAGUAAGG